UACCAGCACCCCGAGUGGUCGGGACGUUUAUUGGGCCUAAAGCAUCCGUAGCCGGUUCUACAAGUCUUCCGUUAAAUCCACCUGCUUAACAGAUGGGCUGCGGAAGAUACUAUAGAGCUAGGAGGCGGGAGAGGCAAGCGGUACUCGAUGGGUAGGGGUAAAAAUCCGUUGAUCCAUUGAAGACCACCAGUGGCAAAGGCGGCUUGCCAGAACGCGCUCGACGGUGAGGGAUGAAAGCUGGGGGAGCAAACCGG
rnacentral:rRNA from 1 species